rnacentral:rRNA from 1 species
AGAUUAAGCCUGCAUGUCUCAGUAUAAGCUUCUAUACGGCGAAACUGCGAAUGGCUCAUUAAAACAGUUAUAGUUUAUUUGGUGGUCAGCAAUUACAUGGAUAACCGUGGUAAUUCUAGAGCUAAUACAUGCGUCCAAACCCGACUUCGUGGAAGGGUUGUGUUUAUUAGAUACAGAACCAACCCAGGCUCCGCCUGGCCUUGAGGUGAUUCAUAAUAACCGAACGAAUCGCAUGGCUAUGCCGGCGAUAGACCAUUCAAGUUUCUGACCUAUCAGCUAUCGUCGGUAGGGUAUUGGCCUACCGUGGCAAUGACGGGUAACGGAGAAUUAGGGUUCGAUUCCGGAGAGGGAGCCUGAGAAACGGCUACCACAUCUAAGGAAGGCAGCAGGCGCGCAAAUUACCCAAUCCUGACGCAGGGAGGUAGUGACAAGAAAUAACAAUACAGGGCAUACAUGUCUUGUAAUUGGAAUGAGUAAACUUUAAAUCACUUUACGAGUAUCAAUUGGAGGG